CUGGAAGUGAUGCAGAUUGCCAAAGCAUGAUUUUCAGUGAUGGCUUUUGUAUUCAUACUGUCUGAUCCAG